rnacentral:lncRNA from 10 species
CAGACAUCUAGACUAUGCCAGUCCUGUCUGCCUUCUGAGAGAGAUGAGAAAGAAACCCAUUUCUCAAGCAGUCCCCCCAAAAAGACAGAAUGUGGGACACAUGCCACAACUUUUUCCCUUCCUAGAGAGAAGCUGAGAAUUGGGAGUUUUCACCCUCUCGUUCUAUGCCGAGCUGGGAGGAGGGAGUAUGGAAGAAGCCAAGAAUUGGGAGUUUUCUGCUGAUGAUGCUAUGCUAAGCUGGGCAGAGAGACCAUGGCGACAAUGCAAGAAUGGACUAAUACAGCUCUAUUGGUGUCAUACAUGUCCUUAUAAGAGGGAGACAGAAGGAGAUGUGUGAUCAAAGACGAAGGCAAUGUGGUGACUAAAACAAGAUAUGAUACUGAUGGCUUUGAAGAUGGAGGAAGGGGCAAAGGAAUGCAAGGAAUGCAGCUCUAGAAGCCAGAAAAGUCAAGAGUAUUUGGAAAGAGUGUGGCCCUAUUGACACGUUGAUUUUGGCCAAGUGAAACUGAUUUUCAAUUUCUGACUUCCAGAACAGCAGGAGAAUAAGUGUUUGUUGUUUCAUGCCACCAAGUUUAUGGUAAUUUGUUUCAGCAGCCAUAGAAAACUAAUACAUACCUAUUAUGCUUCAUUUUGUUAUUUUUAGCCUAUUAUUCUAGCCUGUCAAGUUUAUUUGGUUGUUUUUUAAAUAAACCUUUUGUAUUUUUAGAUGUUGAGUACUAGCUAUGGACAAGGUGUGAUGUAACAUGUUACUUAGAGUAUCUCUACUACUCUUGAUGAUACUUUAUGUGAAUAUUAUUAACCUCAUUUUGUAGAUGAGAAAACUGAGGUUCAGAGUAAGUGGUUUGUCCAAGAUCAUACAAAAAAAACAUCUUAGCAGUGUUCAAAUACCGGUUUGUAGUUAGGAAGGUUGUGCAUAUGUGCAUACAAGGGUU